rnacentral:lncRNA from 1 species
GUUAUCCUCUUAACCAAGGAGUGUGGUGACACUGGUAUGGCAUAUAGGUGAGAUAUAAAGGUACAUCAUCACUGAACAAAUGACUCACCUACUGAGCAUUCUACGGUCAAGAGCUGCUCGUGAAACACAUGGGUAUAAAUGUCCUUCAGACCUAAGAUCAUCAUAGUGACUUGCAAGCAACUCACUGUGCUUUGGUGCUGAACUAUCUGAAUUUUUAAUGCAGUGACAGAAGGCUACUGGGUACAUGUUGGAUUUCGGUGGCAC